rnacentral:ncRNA from 1 species
UGCCCUUAAAAUUUGACCCAAGUUUAAAGGAGCGAGUAUCAGGCAGCCUCCUCAAAGUAGCCCAUGGGCUAGACACCUUGUAUAACCACACCCCCACGGGAUUCAAUUCAGCAAUGACUAACACUGAGCCAUAAACCAAAGUUUAACUAAAUCAUAAUAAAAAGGGUUGGUAAAUCUCGUGCCAGCCACCGCAGUCAUACGGUUAACCCGAAUUAACAGAAGAAUGGAUAUAAAGUGUGUUUAAGCAUAUCAUUCACCCAAUAAAGUUAAAAUUCAAUUGUACUGUAAUAUGUCCUAGUUGACAUUAAAAUAUGCAACUUAUGUGACUUUACCCACUGCUGAAGACACUAAAGCUAAGGUACAAACUGGGAUUAGAGACCCCACUAUGCUUAGCCAUAAACCGAGGUAAUUAAAUAACAAAAUUACUCCCCAAAGAACUACAAGCCACUGCUUAAACCUCAAAAGACUUGGCGGUGCCUUAGCCCCUCCUAGAGGAGCCUGUUCUAUAAUUGAUAAACCCCAAUAUACCUCACCCCUUCUUGCUUAUCAGUCUAUAUACCUCCAUUGUCAGCUGACCCCAACAGGGUGCCCCAAAGUGAGCAAAAUCAUGAAACCAUAAAAACGUUAGGUCAAGGUGUAACAUAUGGAGGGGGAAGCAAUGGGCUACAUUUUCUAUCUUAGAACACAAUGAAAUGUCCAUUGAAACAAAGAUAUGAAGGAGGAUUUAGUAGUAAAUUAAGAAUAGAGAGCUUAAUUGAAAUAGGCAAUAGGGUGCUCACACACUGCCCGUCACCCUCCUCAACAAACUUCACAUACCUAAUAACAGUACGCCAAAAAGAGGAGAAAAGUCGUAACAUGGUAAGUGUACUGGAAAGUGCACUUGGAUAACCAAAAUG